AGGGCAACUGGUGGAUGCCUUGGCGCUAGGAGGCGAUGAAGGACGCGGUGGGCUGCGAUAAGCUUCGGCGAGCCGCCAAACAGGCUUUGACCCGGAGAUUUCCGAAUGGGGCAACCCGGCUGGAUUCAUAUCCAGUCAUCCUUGAACUGAAUUCAUAGGUUCUUGGAUGCGAACCCAGGGAAGUGAAACAUCUCAGUACCUGGAGGAAGAGAAAUCAAGAGAGAUUCCCAAAGUAGCGGCGAGCGAAAUGGGAAGAGCCCAAACCGUGUGCUUUCGAGCAUGCGGGGUUGUAGGACCUUCGCAAUCGAUCCGUGAGUAGGCAGGGGAACAGUCUGGGAAGGCUGACCGUAGGGGGUGAAAGUCCCGUACCCGAAACCGAACAGCGGCGUGGAAGGCACCUGAGUACCGCGGGACACGUGAAAUCCCGUGGGAAUCUGGGAGGACCAUCUCCCAAGGCUAAAUACUCCCUAGCGACCGAUAGUGUACCAGUACCGUGAGGGAAAGGUGAAAAGAACCCCUGUUAGGGGAGUGCAAUAGAACCUGAAACCAGUUGCCUACAAGCUGUGGGAGCGGACUUGAUCCGUGACCGCGUGCUUUUUGCAUAACGGGCCAGCGAGUUAAUCUGUAGUGCGAGGUUAAGCGUGAGCGGAGCCGUAGCGAAAGCGAGUCCGAAUAGGGCGACGAGUACUGCGGAUUAGACCCGAAGCCGGGUGAUCUAUCCAUGAGCAGGUUGAAGCUCAGGUAAAACUGAGUGGAGGACCGAACCGAUGUAAGUUGAAAAUUGCUCGGAUGACUUGUGGAUAGGGGUGAAAGGCCAAUCAAACCCGGUGAUAGCUGGUUCUCCCCGAAAUAUAUUGAGGUAUAGCCUCGGAUUAGUUUUACGGAGGUAGAGCACUGACAGGGCUAGGGGUCCCACCAGAUUACCAAACCCUAUCAAACUCCGAAUGCCGUAAAAUGAUGUCCGGGAGUCAGACUGCGGGUGCGAAGGCCCGUAGUCGAGAGGGAAAGAGCCCAGAUCGACAGCUAAGGCCUCAAAGUCCAUGCUCAGUGGGAAAGGUAGUGACGCUGCCUAGACAUCCAGGAGGUUGGCUUAGAAGCAGCCAUCCUUUAAAGAAAGCGUAAUAGCUCACUGGCCUAGCGGUGUUGCGCCGAAAAUGUAUCGGGGCUAAGCAUGGCGCCGAAGCUUCGGGAUCCGUCUCGUACGGAUCGGUAGGGGAGCGUUCCCGGAUGGGAUGAAGGUGUGCCGGAAGGCAUGCUGGACUAACGGGAAGUGAUUAUGCUGGCAUGAGUAACGUUAAAACGGGUGGAAAACCCGUUCGCCGUAAGCCUAAGGUUUCCUGGGUAAAGUUAAUCUUCCCAGGGUGAGUCGGUCCCUAAGACGAGGCCGAAAGGCGUAGUUGAUGGGAAACAGGUUAAUAUUCCUGUACUUGUAUGCGAGCGCGAUGGAGGGACGCAGGAGGGUAGAUCGUCCAGGUGUUGGAAUACCUGGUGCAAGCCCGUAGGCGGGGGAUGUAGGCAAAUCCGCAUUCCCAUACGCCGAGAGGUGAUGCCGUGACAUUACCGUCUGAAGCGAUUGAUCCCAUGCUGCCAAGAAAAGCUCCUCAGUUUAUCGCAUGCAAACCGUACCGCAAACCGACACAGGUAGGCGGGUCGAGCAGACCAAGGCGCUUGAGAGAACUCUGGUUAAGGAACUCGGCAAAAUGACCCCGUAAGUUCGCGAUAAGGGGUGCUUUCCUGGGUGAAGAGUCUAGCAUUCGUAGCCCGGGUGAGCCGCAGAGAAUCGGGGGUGGCGACUGUUUACUAAAAACACAGGUCUGUGCGAAGUCGUAAGACGACGUAUACGGACUGACGCCUGCCCGGUGCCGGAAGGUUAAGGGGUGAGGUCAGCAGCAAUGCGAAGCCUUAAACCGAAGCCCCGGUAAACGGCGGCCGUAACUAUAACGGUCCUAAGGUAGCGAAAUUCCUUGUCGGGUAAGUUCCGACCUGCACGAAUGGCGUAACGAUCUCCCCGCUGUCUCAACCAGAGACUCAGUGAAAUUGAAUUCCGGGUGAAAAUGCCCGGUACCCGCAGUUAGACGGAAAGACCCUGUGCACCUUUACUACAACUUGGCAUUGGCUUUUGGGUUAUCAUGUGUAGGAUAGGUGGGAGGCUGUGAAGUCGGUACGCCAGUAUCGGCGGAGCCAACCUUGAAAUACCACCCUUGAUAGCCUAGAAUUCUAAGUCCGCGCCGUGAUCCGGCCGGAUGACAGUGCCUGGUGGGUAGUUUGACUGGGGCGGUCGCCUCCCAAAAUGUAACGGAGGCUUGCAAAGGUUCCCUCAGGCUGAUUGGAAACCAGCCGUUGAGUGCAAAGGCAUAAGGGAGCUUGACUGUGAGAGAGACAUCUCGAGCAGGGACGAAAGUCGGUCUUAGUGAUCCGGUGGUCCCGAAUGGAAGGGCCAUCGCUCAUAGGAUAAAAGGUACGCCGGGGAUAACAGGCUGAUCGCAUCCAAGAGUUCACAUCGACGAUGCGGUUUGGCACCUCGAUGUCGGCUCAUCACAUCCUGGGGCUGAAGCAGGUCCCAAGGGUACGGCUGUUCGCCGUUUAAAGUGGUACGCGAGCUGGGUUUAAAACGUCGUGAGACAGUUUGGUCCCUAUCUACUGUGGGCGCAGGAGAAUUGAAGAGGGUCUACCCCUAGUACGAGAGGACCGGGGUGGACGGACCACUAGUGUACCUGUUGUCACGCCAGUGGCAUCGCAGGGUAGCUAUGUCCGGUAGGGAUAACCGCUGAAAGCAUCUAAGCGGGAAGCCUGCCUCGAGAUGAGUUCUCCCUCCGCUUCGGCGGCUGAAGAUCCCAGGAAGACCACCUGGUUGAUAGGCCGGAUGUGCAAGCGCGGCAACGCGUUCAGCUUACCGGUACUAAUAGAUCGUGAGGCUUACCC
rnacentral:rRNA from 2 species